rnacentral:rRNA from 1 species
AUUGAACGCUGGCGGCAUGCCUUACACAUGCAAGUCGAACGGUAACGGGCCUUCGAGUGCCGACGAGUGGCGAACGGGUGAGUAAUACAUCGGAACGUGCCCGAUCGUGGGGGAUAACGAGGCGAAAGCUUUGCUAAUACCGCAUACGAUCUACGGAUGAAAGCAGGGGACCGCAAGGCCUUGCGCGGACGGAGCGGCCGAUGGCAGAUUAGGUAGUUGGUGGGAUAAAAGCUUACCAAGCCGACGAUCUGUAGCUGGUCUGAGAGGAUGAUCAGCCACACUGGGACUGAGACACGGCCCAGACUCCUACGGGAGGCAGCAGUGGGGAAUUUUGGACAGUGGGCGCAAGCCUGAUCCAGCCAUGCCGCGUGCAGGAUGAAGGCCUUCGGGUUGUAAACUGCUUUUGUACGGAACGAAAAGCCUUCUUUUAAUACAGGAGGGUCAUGACGGUACCGUAAGAAUAAGCACCGGCUAACUACGUG